rnacentral:rRNA from 1 species
GGGAUUACCUCAGUAACGGCGAGUGAAGCGGUAACAGCUCAAAUUUGAAAUCUGGGCCUUUCAGGCUCCGAGUUGUAAUUUGUAGAAGAUGCUUCGGGUGCGGCUCCGGUCUAAGUUCCUUGGAACAGGACGUCAUAGAGGGUGAGAAUCCCGUAUGUGAUCGGUCGCUUGCGCCCGUGUGAAGCUCUUUCGACGAGUCGAGUUGUUUGGGAAUGCAGCUCUAAAUGGGUGGUAUAUUUCAUCUAAAGCUAAAUAUUGGCCAGAGACCGAUAGCGCACAAGUAGAGUGAUCGAAAGAUGAAAAGCACUUUGGAAAGAGAGUUAAACAGUACGUGAAAUUGUUGAAAGGGAAGCGCUUGCAACCAGACUUGCGUGUGGUCGAUCAUCCGGGGUUCUCUCCGGUGCACUCGGCCUCACUCAGGCCAGCAUCGGUUUCGGUGGUUGGAUAAAGGCCUUGGGAAUGUGGCUCCUCUCGGGGAGUGUUAUAGCCCUCGGUGCAAUGCAGCCUACCGGGACCGAGGACCGCGCUUCGGCUAGGAUGCUGGCGUAAUGGUUGUAAGCGACCCGUCUUGAAACACGGACCAAGGAGUCUAACAUCUAUGCGAGUGUUUGGGUGUCAAACCCAUACGCGGAAUGAAAGUGAACGGAGGUGAGAACCCUUAAGGGUGCAUCAUCGACCGAUCCUGAUGUCUUCGGAUGGAUUUGAGUAAGAGCAUAGCUGUUGGGACCCGAAAGAUGGUGAACUAUGCCUGAAUAGGGUGAAGCCAGAGGAAACUCUGGUGGAGGCUCGCAGCGGUUCUGACGUGCAAAUCGAUCGUCAAAUUUGGGUAUAGGGGCGAAAGACUAAUCGAACCAUCUAGUAGCUG